AUUCAAUAAUGAGAACAUCCUUGAGGAUCACAGAGUCCAGAGUCCCCAGAGAGAGAGGCAGGAAUCAUGUCUUGUAGAUGGCGAGUUACCUACACAUAUGUCUAGAGAAGAACAAUCCAAUAACGAGAACAUCCUUGAGGAUCACAGAGUCCAGAGUCCCAGAGAGAGACAGAGCAAUCAUGGCUUGUAGAUGCAAGCAGCUCAACAUCUCAAGAUCUCAAGAUAGUACAUCUUCUUGACUUGGUCAUGUCUAGGCUCAUCUACAUGCUUUGAGAGGAAAAAGUGAAAAGCGAAGAAUCACUGUUGGUUGG
rnacentral:lncRNA from 1 species